GUUUUUCGUUUAUCCGACAUCGACCCCCGUCCUGCUUGCCCUCGCCUUCGUUCCCCUUUCUCUUGGCUUUUCCAAACAUCGAGCUUAGGGUUCCCGGCCAUCUCAAAGACAUUUGGGCGUCUUCGCGUCUCGCCUCGUGCUUCCUUCCCUCGCCGGCUGCCGGGCGGGAUGGGCCGCCACUUCGAGACGGAUGUGGUGCGAUUACGGUCCUUCUAUUAACUCAUUGCAUCUCAAUAAGGGAGCAAGAUUCCAACUGCCACUUAUACUAGCAAGAUAAAGAGAAAAGUUUGUCAUGCCAUGAUGAGGGCCAUCUGACCUGAUCUGGGCUCAAGUUUGCCCUUGUUGACCAUAAGUCUAGCUAUGCCAUCUUUAUCAAAGGCUUGGCCUAAAAGAACAGUGAAGCCUCACACAAGUGGGUUGUGUCCACUUUCUCUGCUGCUAAAUUUCUUUCUCGGGAUGCACUGUGAAAUGGGAAAAGCGGAGCUGGAGAACCAUGCAAGGACAUAGAAAGGUGGAAUAACUCUUGAGGUCUGCUUAAGAAAAGAUGGCCCUUCAUCAGGUCAGCCAUUUUUGGUGGACCAUGCUUGCAGGUAGGGUUGAUGAAGGCAGCGACUUCUCAAAGAAAAGAUGUGGAUGGGGUAUAUCAUAAUAAGCAUUUUGUAGGGCCCAGGAAUUUGUUGCCAUGGAGAUUGGUGGGUGUAUCAUUUGAGGCAUCAUCAUCUUCAGAGGCAGGUCUAUCUUGCUUGGAUCCCUCACUGUGCACUCUUUGUCAUGUCAGUGACAAAUUUGUCCUUCAAACAUGUCCUCAGGUAUCCUCCCUUUCACUCCAUUGUCUGGAAUCCAAACUCUUUUUAGUGGCAAGAGACUCUCUUUUUGAGAUACAUGGGGAGUUAGUGGUUAUUAUUGCCAUCUGGUGAAUGAUUUCACCAGGAGAAUUUAGUGCCAGUGAACAUGAUCCUCGGUAGUCUGUGCAUCAGUUGUUUUAUUUGGUUAGUUUGUGCAUCGAAGUAUUAAUUCUCUGG